rnacentral:rRNA from 1 species
ACGCUCGACACCUACUGGAGGCAGCAGUGGGGAAUAUUGCACAAUGGGGGAAACCCUGAUGCAGCGACGCCGCGUGAGCGAAGAAGUAUUUCGGUAUGUAAAGCUCUAUCAGCAGGGAAGAAACUGACGGUACCUGACUAAGAAGCACCGGCUAAAUACGUGCCNNNCGCGAGUAUGNGNGGCGUGNGAGAG